rnacentral:tRNA from 1 species
AAUGAAGUGCCUGAGAAAAGGAAUAUCUUGAUAGGGUAUAUAAUGUGAUAUAAUCACCUUCGUUA